UAUGGCCACAUCAUGUUGAAAUACCAGUACCCAUAUGAUCACCAAAGUUAAUCAACAUUGAUCCUGGUUAGUACCUAGAUUGGUGACCGCUUGGGAAUACCAGGUGCUGUCA